rnacentral:rRNA from 1 species
GUAACAAGGUUUCCGUAGGUGAACCUGCGGAAGGAUCAUUGUCGAAGCCUGCCCCAGCAGAACGACCCGCGAACGAGUCCGUCGACCCACGCCGGGGCGGCGGGGGGCACCCGCCCCUCGGCCCCCGGCGAGCCGCGGGGAGCGGGCCGCGAGGCCCCUCUCCCCGGCCGGCUCACGAAACAAACCCCCGGCGCCGGGCGCGCCAAGGACCAUGAAAAAAGAGGGAGCACGCACCGUCGGCCCGGGAACGGGGCGCGGGGCGCGCCUUCUCUCGCCACGAGCAACAAA